GUCGAGCGAACAGACGAGGAGCUUGCUCCUCUGACGUUAGCGGCGGACGGGUGAGUAACACGUGGAUAACCUACCUAUAAGACUGGGAUAACUUCGGGAAACCGGAGCUAAUACCGGAUAAUAUAUUGAACCGCAUGGUUCAAUAGUGAAAGACGGUUUUGCUGUCACUUAUAGAUGGAUCCGCGCCGCAUUAGCUAGUUGGUAAGGUAACGGCUUACCAAGGCAACGAUGCGUAGCCGACCUGAGAGGGUGAUCGGCCACACUGGAACUGAGACACGGUCCAGACUCCUACGGGAGGCAGCAGUAGGGAAUCUUCCGCAAUGGGCGAAAGCCUGACGGAGCAACGCCGCGUGAGUGAUGAAGGUCUUCGGAUCGUAAAACUCUGUUAUUAGGGAAGAACAAAUGUGUAAGUAACUAUGCACGUCUUGACGGUACCUAAUCAGAAAGCCACGGCUAACUACGUGCCAGCAGCCGCGGUAAUACGUAGGUGGCAAGCGUUAUCCGGAAUUAUUGGGCGUAAAGCGCGCGUAGGCGGUUUUUUAAGUCUGAUGUGAAAGCCCACGGCUCAACCGUGGAGGGUCAUUGGAAACUGGAAAACUUGAGUGCAGAAGAGGAAAGUGGAAUUCCAUGUGUAGCGGUGAAAUGCGCAGAGAUAUGGAGGAACACCAGUGGCGAA
rnacentral:rRNA from 2 species